UUUUGACGGUGUUUCGAAAAUCGUAAUAUUAUUAUAUAUAUUUAUAUUAAUCCUAAUAUUUAAUAAACAAAAAACUGAAUGCACUGGUCAAUUUUGAGCACUUGUACUUAAAUAUACAAUUGAUACAAAUGUAUUGCCUGGCAUGCAUAUUCAAGUUGAUAUUUUGCAGCAUAGUCCAAAAAAUGAUAAACAAUUAAAAACUUAUUCUCGUAAGAGGCUUCACGAAGAUUGUCGGUGACCAACAUGAAAAAGUUAAACUUGUACGUCACAGUCCCAGUCCUCAAAGCACACAGACAGUUCCAAAGCUCACUGUAGAUUAUCCAGAUACCCCAUCUUCCACAAAAUCUAAUAUUAAAAAAAAAUCAAGAGUUUUAAGUGUUAACUUCAUUAAAAAAAAAGUUUAAAGUUAAAAAAAAUAACUAUUUACGCCUUAAAAAGAAAGCAAAUCUAGUGUCUAAAAACUUUUUGGCAAAUUUACUUAAAGGAAAAAGUACAGCUGUAAAAACACUAAUUAACAUGCAGUUAUCUCCAACGAGGAAAAAAGUUUGGACGACCAAUGAGCGACAUUUGGCACUUUCUCUUUAUUAUAAGUCGCCUGGAUGUUACAAGUUCUUAAGAGAAAAAUUGUUGUUUUUUUUUGCAAUCGGUUCGUACGAUUCAGUCAUGGCUUAGAGUUAUAAAUUUAAAAACUGGUCUGGAAAAUGUUUUGACAAAAAAAUUGAAAAUAAAGGUCGAAACCAUGUCUAGAAGAGAACGAGCAUGUGUAGUCCUUUUUGAAGAAAUUCAUUUAGAGCCUAAGUUACAAUAUAAUAAAUAUUAUGAUUUUAUUGAAGGAUACGAGGAUUUGGGAUUUCUUGGGCGAAAAAACAAGGUUGCCAAUUCCGCGUUAGUUUUUUUUGUUAGAGGGGUGUAUGAGAAUUGGAAAGUUCCGCUUUUCUAUUUUACUUCAAAUGGGCCAAUAAAACAGAAUAUGCUGGCACAAAUAAUACCAUAUGUUAUUCGGGGUAUACAAAAUGUACAACUUUUCCCAGUCGCUCUAGUUUGUGAUCAGGGCACCAACAGAAGGAGUGCGUUUAAAAUUUUAGGCGCAACAGAAGAAAUCCCAUUAUUACCAUUAACAAUUCUAAUGUUACCUUAUUUGAUGUUCUUCACUUACUAAAAAGCUUAAGAAAUAAUUUUAUGAAUCCAAAGUUAGAAUUUCGAAUAAAUGGUAUUUCUGUAUCUUGGCAAGACGUUGUUAAAACGUACUUAUUAGAUAAGGAAAGCAAAACCACAAGAGCAUUACCGAAAAUUACAGAUAUCCACAUAAAUCCAAAUAUUUUUCAAUAUUUUUGUCCAAAAAAAAAGUGUACUUCACAGAUCUCACUACCCUACACAGUUUUUGAGAUAUUGGCUGGUUUCACAAGCCCGUAUUGUCAAAAAUCACAUUACGGGCUACUUUUUGCAAAAAAUUAUUGACUCUAAAAAACUAUAGUACCGUAUAUAGAUAUUAAAUCUUUAAUUAUUUAAUUUACUCUUUAUAUUUACGUGAAACCCCUACCUAUAUCAUCACCUUUAUUUAAUAUUUUUGUUAAUUUUCUAAUUAAUAAAUAAAAGCUUAUUGAAUUUU